AUAUAUAUAUGAUAUACUACACCCUAGGUGUAGAAUAAGUAUUCUACACCCAGCACCCAAACCAACUAGCCCACCAGCCAUCCUCUUUGCCCGACCCGAUCCAACCUCCCACUUGGCCCACGGCCCAUCCACGAGUCAUGUUACUACCCACCAGGCCACCACCCUGUCCACGCUAACAUGCUGCCCAAACAGCGAUUCGAGGCUCGAUUCGGCGGCGGCGACGACGACGCGAUUUCAGGUGGCGCAUCCCUCCCGCCCAACUACUCCUGCACACCCUAGCGCGGCGUGGAUCCCAGGCGGCGCACCCGAGCAGCGGCGGGAGCCUAGGCGGCACGCCCUCCCGCACCCUUGAGCGGGGACGACGACGACGCCCGUGGCUUGUGCCAGCCGCUGUUCUCCAUCGAGUUCUCGUUCUUCGCCGCUACAAGUGGUGAUGUAAAUGCCAAGGGUUAAAAUCAAAGGCGAUCUUCCUAAAGGCAUCAAAGGUAUAUCAUUGAGGGAUAGCCAAGGUGCCGAGUUCCGAUAGACCUCACACAGACCCAGCCUCGAGAUCUUGAGAUAGUCCUGCAGAUGCUGCACUGGACACAGUCUUAAUCGGAACGUGCAGCUGUAGGCUGUGGUGAUGAUGAGAUAGCUACACCAGCUACAUUCAUCCCGAGCUCACUAGAUGAGGGGUGUAAACGCCAUGGAUUAAAAUCAUAGGCGGCAUUUUAAAGGCAUCAAAGGUAUAUCAUUGAGGGAUUGCGGAGGUGUCGAGUUCCGGAUGGACCUCACACAGACCUAGUCUCCAGAUGCUUUCGUGGUUGCGACAUAGGACACAGUUGAAUUAGAAACAUGCAACUGUAUAUGGUGGUGAUGAUGAGAAUACUCCAGCAGCUACACUCAUUUUGUAGAUCUUUUUAGACUACAAGAGACUGUUAAUUUGUGACUAAUAUGUAUAUAGAUUCAUGCUCACCGCCAAUUAUAUUUAUAUACUUGGAUUUUCGGUAAUCUAGAUAAACAAUUAUUCAGUAUAUGCACUUCCAGUAAUUUUGUAUAUUUUUGAGAAAUUGUUUUCUAGUAAUACCCAUGUACAUGCUUGGAUUUAGUAGUGCAGAGUUUCAAGUACAUCCAAUAAUACCUAUGCACAUUUAGAUUCUGUAAUACAUCGUAUAAUUCCAAUGUA